AUUUAUGGGGGUUUGUUUACAAAUAUUGCAGACAUAUUAGUUAAAAGUUGAAUUUCAAAGGAUUAGAACGACGAUUAGUUGCUGCUUGCUACUCUUGCUACCGAUAUGUGAGUGAUAAUGAUGACAAUCAGACACCCCUUACACACAAAGAACACAUUAAAGUUGGAAGACUUUUCAAACUAUUAAAUCUCUUGGGAUGAUAGCAAUACUUUGGUGAAUUCUAUGUGUCAACAAUCAACAUGUGGACAGUGAAAAUCUCGGAUCUCUCUUCAACUUGUCUUGAAUGCAAUAGAGAAAUCGAUUGGCUGCUGCAAAAUGUUACUUAAUCUUUUUACAACUGAGACAAAGUUCCCAACCUAUGAAUAUAAGAUUUACUUUUUGAUAAUUAUGCAUUCCUAUUUUUUUUCAAUUUUGUUGGCUCAUUAAUAAACGAGAUUUUUUAAACUUUA